UACGUAGGGUGCAAGCGUUGUCCGGAAUUAUUGGGCGUAAAGAGCUCGUAGGCGGUUUGUCGCGUCUGCUGUGAAAACUCGGGGCUUAACUCCGGGCCUGCAGUGGGUACGGGCAGACUAGAGUGCGGUAGGGGAGACUGGAAUUCCUGGUGUAGCGGUGAAAUGCGUAGAUAUCUGGAGGAACACCGGUGGCGAAGGCGGGUCUCUGGGCAGUAACCGACGCUGAGGAGCGAAAGCGUGGGGAGCGAACAGG
rnacentral:rRNA from 1 species